GAUGAAGAACGUAGCGAAAUGCGAUAAGUAAUGUGAAUUGCAGAAUUCAGUGAAUCAUCGAAUCUUUGAACGCACAUUGCGCCCGCUGGUAUUCUGGCGGGCAUGCCUGUCCGAGCGUCAUUUCAACCCUCAAGCCCCCGGGCUUGGUGUUGGGGAUCGGCGAGCCUCCGCGCCCGCCGUCCCCUAAAUCUAGUGGCGGUCUCGCUGUAGCUUCCUCUGCGUAGUAGCACACCUCGCACUGGGAAACAGCGCGGCCACGCCGUUAAACCCCCAACUUCUGAACGUUUGACCUCGGAUCAGGUAGGAAUACCCGCUGAACUUAAGCAUAUCAAUAAGCGGAGGA
rnacentral:misc_RNA from 1 species